AGUUGCGAUCAUACCAGCACUAAUGCACCGGAUCCCAUCAGAACUCCGCAGCUAAGCGUGCUUGGGCGAGAGUAGUACUAGGAUGGGUGACCCCCUGGGAAGUCCUCGUGUUGCAACCC
rnacentral:rRNA from 1 species